rnacentral:rRNA from 1 species
GCAGCCGCGGUAACACGUAAGUUGCGAGCGUUGUUCGGAAUUAUUGGGCGUAAAGGGCAUGUAGGCUGCUCAUCAAGCCUGGCGUGAAAUCCACGGGCUCAACCCGUGAACUGCGCUGGGAACUGCUGAGCUAGAGUUACUGAGGCGGAACUAGAAUUCCAGGUGUAGGGGUGAAAUCUGUAGAUAUCUGGAAGAAUACCAAUGGCGAAGGCAAGUUUCGAGCAGAUAACUGACGCUGAGGUGCGAAGGUGCGGGGAGCAAACAGGAUUAGAUACCCC